UAAUAAGUGUUUUAUGGCACUUUUUAAAUCCAUAUCCACCUUGUGUGCAAUGUCAGUCGAUCUUCUUCAUGGAGAUCGACCAAACAUCAACCUUUAUUUUUUAACUCUUUGUCUGAAAAAUAUUAUGAGUUAACAUAAUUCUAAAAUA
rnacentral:misc_RNA from 1 species